UACAGAGGGGGCAAGCGUUGUUCGGAAUUACUGGGCGUAAAGGGCGCGUAGGCGGCCUGUUAAGUCGAACGUGAAAUCCCCGGGCUCAACCCGGGAACUGCGUCCGAUACUGGCAGGCUUGAAUUCGGGAGAGGGAUGCGGAAUUCCAGGUGUAGCGGUGAAAUGCGUAGAUAUCCGGAGGAACACCGGUGGCGAAGGCGGCUUCCUGGACCGAUUACUGACGCUGAGGCGCGAAAGCUAGGGGAGCAAACGGG
rnacentral:rRNA from 1 species